GCGCACAACUCAACGUCAUCACACACACGCUCUCCGAUUGACCCCGUUGCUGGCUGAACAUCGCCUGCUUUGACGUUCUCCGGAGCAUCCACGCUCUCUCGCUCGCUCCGUAGCGCUCGUCUCCGUGCCCACAGAAGGCGCGAGAGGCUGUUGAUAUCAACGGCCAUCAGCAUGCACGCACGCGCGCACACAUCCAGAGACGCAUCAGCUUCUUUUCCUUUCCUGUCCUACAUCAGCAUGGACUCCAUGAAGUCGAAGAGCGCGAUGCUCAUGACCAAGGGCAUCAUGGACAUGCGCAGCGACCCGCCACGACUCAUCUGCACCAUCUUGCGGUACAAGCACCCGGACACGAAGAAGGAGGUGACACUCUACCCGAUCCCGAACAUUGCCGCCCCUGCGUACUUCCAGCGCGUUUUGAAUGGCGACGCGCUGCAGCGCAACUUUGACAAGAUCCUCUGCGAGGACGGCCGGUUGCCCUUCCAGGCCGGUUCGGCGAGCGCCGCACGACAGCAAUGGCUGCGCCGCCUGCUUCCCUUUUUCAGCAUUCGCCCUGUCGUAGCAGACGGCGAAAAAUUCGAUGGCAUCAUCGUUCGCGACGCGCUAGAGUCACGCAUGGCGUAUCAGAUGGUGCUGGAAGGCUACGACCCGCCGGUGGAUCCGCGCGCCCGUCGCGCGAUGGAGCGGAUCGACACAUACCCGGAGAGCACGCGUGUCGUUGUCCCCUGGGGUGUCUAUCACAUGCCCUACUUCCGCUACCGCCUGGAGAAAGAGGGGUACAAGGCGCUGCCGUCGGAGGAGGUUGUUGCGUUUGGCUUCCACCAAGUGAUGGGCUUCUUCUUUCUUUCCGGUGUCAUGGUCUUCGCCAUUUCGUUUGUUGUUUUCCGCAUCUUGUUCGGCUAGUUGCAGCGGCUGAGGCGCCCCCCCCCUGUCCCCCACACACACAUGUGUGUGGCUGUGCGUGUGUACGAUGAUGCGAUAGCGGUUUUGCCAGGUCUUUAUUGCCCCAGGACAAAGAAUCCCAUUGGAUGUACGCGGAACCGGAAAUCAUGAGACUACGCGUCCACCGACGACCUCUGCUGCCCUGCACGCUGAGCGUGCCGUUCGCAUACAUACCACGUGUGUGUGUGUGUGCGCGCUCACGGCUGCCUCACUCCGACGGGCUCAUUACGAGGAAGAGAACGGAAGGGAGAGGUGAGGCCAGUUCGUCGGCGCUGGGCACGUUCUCCUCUCUCAUAUCACGCCUCCCCCUUCCCCUCUUUUGGUCUCUCUGUGCUCACUGGGGUUUGCUUUUUCGUUUUCCCGGCUCUUACAUGCGCGCAUCACCCAACUCACAUGCGCGCGUCAUCAG
rnacentral:misc_RNA from 1 species